GUUAAGCGACUAAGCGUACACGGUGGAUGCCCUGGCAGUCAGAGGCGAUGAAGGACGUGCUAAUCUGCGAUAAGCGUCGGUGAGGUGAUAUGAACCGUUAUAACCGGCGAUUUCCGAAUGGGGAAACCCAGUGUGUUUCGACACACUAUCAUUAACUGAAUCCAUAGGUUAAUGAGGCGAACCGGGGGAACUGAAACAUCUAAGUACCCCGAGGAAAAGAAAUCAACCGAGAUUCCCCCAGUAGCGGCGAGCGAACGGGGAGGAGCCCAGAGCCUGAAUCAGUGUGUGUGUUAGUGGAAGCGUCUGGAAAGGCGUGCGAUACAGGGUGACAGCCCCGUACACAAAAAUGCACAUAUUGUGAGCUCGAUGAGUAGGGCGGGACACGUGGUAUCCUGUCUGAAUAUGGGGGGACCAUCCUCCAAGGCUAAAUACUCCUGACUGACCGAUAGUGAACCAGUACCGUGAGGGAAAGGCGAAAAGAACCCCGGCGAGGGGAGUGAAAAAGAACCUGAAACCGUGUACGUACAAGCAGUGGGAGCCUCUUAAUGGGGUGACUGCGUACCUUUUGUAUAAUGGGUCAGCGACUUAUAUUCUGUAGCAAGGUUAACCGAAUAGGGGAGCCGAAGGGAAACCGAGUCUUAACUGGGCGUUAAGUUGCAGGGUAUAGACCCGAAACCCGGUGAUCUAGCCAUGGGCAGGUUGAAGGUUGGGUAACACUAACUGGAGGACCGAACCGACUAAUGUUGAAAAAUUAGCGGAUGACUUGUGGCUGGGGGUGAAAGGCCAAUCAAACCGGGAGAUAGCUGGUUCUCCCCGAAAGCUAUUUAGGUAGCGCCUCGUGAAUUCAUCUCCGGGGGUAGAGCACUGUUUCGGCAAGGGGGUCAUCCCGACUUACCAACCCGAUGCAAACUGCGAAUACCGGAGAAUGUUAUCACGGGAGACACACGGCGGGUGCUAACGUCCGUCGUGAAGAGGGAAACAACCCAGACCGCCAGCUAAGGUCCCAAAGUCAUGGUUAAGUGGGAAACGAUGUGGGAAGGCCCAGACAGCCAGGAUGUUGGCUUAGAAGCAGCCAUCAUUUAAAGAAAGCGUAAUAGCUCACUGGUCGAGUCGGCCUGCGCGGAAGAUGUAACGGGGCUAAACCAUGCACCGAAGCUGCGGCAGCGACACUAUGUGUUGUUGGGUAGGGGAGCGUUCUGUAAGCCUGUGAAGGUGGCCUGUGAGGGUUGCUGGAGGUAUCAGAAGUGCGAAUGCUGACAUAAGUAACGAUAAAGCGGGUGAAAAGCCCGCUCGCCGGAAGACCAAGGGUUCCUGUCCAACGUUAAUCGGGGCAGGGUGAGUCGACCCCUAAGGCGAGGCCGAAAGGCGUAGUCGAUGGGAAACAGGUUAAUAUUCCUGUACUUGGUGUUACUGCGAAGGGGGGACGGAGAAGGCUAUGUUGGCCGGGCGACGGUUGUCCCGGUUUAAGCGUGUAGGCUGGUUUUCCAGGCAAAUCCGGAAAACCAAGGCUGAGGCGUGAUGACGAAGCACUACGGUGCUGAAGCGACAAAUGCCCUGCUUCCAGGAAAAGCCUCUAAGCAUCAGGUAACAUCAAAUCGUACCCCAAACCGACACAGGUGGUCAGGUAGAGAAUACCAAGGCGCUUGAGAGAACUCGGGUGAAGGAACUAGGCAAAAUGGUGCCGUAACUUCGGGAGAAGGCACGCUGAUAUGUAGGUGAAGCGACUUGCUCGUGGAGCUGAAAUCAGUCGAAGAUACCAGCUGGCUGCAACUGUUUAUUAAAAACACAGCACUGUGCAAACACGAAAGUGGACGUAUACGGUGUGACGCCUGCCCGGUGCCGGAAG
rnacentral:rRNA from 1 species